rnacentral:ribozyme from 1 species
AGUCGGUUGGGCGACUAUAAAGAGAUGAAUAAGCCCAACGCGUUUGCCAGAUGGCAAGGACAUA